UACGUAGGGUGCGAGCGUUGUCCGGAAUUAUUGGGCGUAAAGGGCUCGUAGGCGGUUUGUCGCGUCGGGAGUGAAAACUCAGGGCUUAACCCUGAGCCUGCUUCCGAUACGGGCAGACUAGAGGUAUGCAGGGGAGAACGGAAUUCCUGGUGUAGCGGUGAAAUGCGCAGAUAUCAGGAGGAACACCGGUGGCGAAGGCGGUUCUCUGGGCAUGAUCUGACGCUGAGGAGCGAAAGUGUGGGGAGCGAACAGG
rnacentral:rRNA from 1 species